rnacentral:rRNA from 1 species
GACGAACGCUGGCGGCGUGCUUAACACAUGCAAGUCGAACGGAAAGGCCCUGCUUUUGUGGGGUGCUCGAGUGGCGAACGGGUGAGUAACACGUGAGUAACCUGCCCUUGACUUUGGGAUAACUUCAGGAAACUGGGGCUAAUACCGGAUAGGAGCUCCUGCUGCAUGGUGGGGGUUGGAAAGUUUCGGCGGUUGGGGAUGGACUCGCGGCUUAUCAGCUUGUUGGUGGGGUAGUGGCUUACCAAGGCUUUGACGGGUAGCCGGCCUGAGAGGGUGACCGGCCACAUUGGGACUAGGAUACGGCCCAGACUCCUACGGGAGGCAGCAGUGGGGAAUAUUGCACAAUGGGCGGAAGCCUGAUGCAGCAACGCCGCGUGCGGGAUGACGGCCUUCGGGUUGUAAACCGCUUUCGCCUGUGACGAAGCGUGAGUGACGGUAAUGGGUAAAGAAGCACCGGCUAACUACGUG